rnacentral:snRNA from 1 species
AUCGCUUCUCGGCCUUUUGGCUAAGAUCAAGUGUAGAAAUGUAAGGUCUUAAUGGAUUACAAAUCAUUGAGUGUAGGAUUUCUUUACUUUGAAAUUUGGAACAAGUGAAAUGUGUAUUUUUUUCAAGUAAAUAAAAGAAUAUCUUCC